rnacentral:rRNA from 1 species
UGAGGAAUAUUGGUCAAUGGGCGCUAGCCUGAACCAGCCAAGUAGCGUGAAGGAUGAAGGCUCUAUGGGUCGUAAACUUCUUUUAUAUAAGAAUAAAGUGCAGUAUGUAUACUGUUUUGUAUGUAUUAUAUGAAUAAGGAUCGGCUAACUCCGUGCCAGCAGCCGCGGUAAUACGGAGGAUCCGAGCGUUAUCCGGAUUUAUUGGGUUUAAAGGGAGCGUAGGUGGACUGGUAAGUCAGUUGUGAAAGUUUGCGGCUCAACCGUAAAAUUGCAGUUGAUACUGUCAGUCUUGAGUACAGUAGAGGUGGGCGGAAUUCGUGGUGUAGCGGUGAAAUGCUUAGAUAUCACGAAGAACUCCGAUUGCGAAGGCAGCUCACUGGACUGCAACUGACACUGAUGCUCGAAAGUGUGGGUAUCAAACUG